rnacentral:rRNA from 1 species
UACCAGCACCCCGAGUGGUCGGGACGUUUAUUGGGCCUAAAGCAUCCGUAGCCGGUUCUACAAGUCUUCCGUUAAAUCCACCUGCUCAACAGAUGGGCUGCGGAAGAUACUAUGGAGCUAGGAGGCGGGAGAGGCAAGCGGUACUCGAUGGGGUAGGGGUAAAAUCCGUUGAUCCAUUGAAGACCACCAGUGGCGAAGGCGGCUUGCCAGAACGCGCUCGACGGUGAGGGAUGAAAGCUGGGGGAGCAAACCGG